rnacentral:rRNA from 1 species
CCUACGGGAGGCUGCAGUGGGGAAUCUUGCGCAAUGGGGGAAACCCUGACGCAGCGACGCCGCGUGGGUGAUGAAGGCCUUCGGGUCGUAAAGCCCUGUCAGGUGGGAAGAAACAUGUUGAUGUGAAUAACAUCAACAUCUGACGGUACCACCAGAGGAAGCACCGGCUAACUCCGUGCCAGCAGCCGCGGUAAUACGGAGGGUGCAAGCGUUGUUCGGAAUUACUGGGCGUAAAGUGCGUGUAGGCGGUUGAGCAAGUCAGAUGUGAAAUCCUUCCGCCCAACGGGAGAAGUGCAUUUGAAACUACUCAACUAGAGUACGGGAGAGGAGAGGGGAAUUCCCGGUGUAGAGGUGAAAUUCGUAGAUAUCGGGAGGAACACCGGUGGCGAGGGCGGCUCUCGGGCCCGAUACUGACGCUGAGGCGCGAAAGCGGGGGGAGCAAACAGGAUUAGAUCCCCUUGUAGU